rnacentral:rRNA from 1 species
GGAGAUGCGGGGGCUGGUGCCGGUGGUGUCCGUAGGGGCCGGGGGUUGUCCGGAAUGAAUGUGCGGAAUGGGUGCGUAGGUGGGUAUGUGCGUCGGGGGUGAGAAGUCAGGGGUCAGCCCUGGGCGUGUAUCCGGGACGGGCGGAGGAGGGGUAUGCAGGGGAGAACGGAAGUCCUGGUGUGGCGGUGGGAUGCGGAGAUAUCAGGAGGAGCACCGGUGGCGAAGGCGGUUCUCUGGGCAUUACCUGACGCUGAGGAGCGAAGGCGUGGGGGGCGAACAGGAUUAGAUACCCGUGUAGUC